AGUGAACGCUGGCGGUAGGCCUAACACAUGCAAGUCGAACGGCAGCACAGUAAGAGCUUGCUCUUACGGGUGGCGAGUGGCGGACGGGUGAGGAAUACAUCGGAAUCUACUUUUUCGUGGGGGAUAACGUAGGGAAACUUACGCUAAUACCGCAUACGACCUACGGGUGAAAGCAGGGGAUCUUCGGACCUUGCGCGAUUGAAUGAGCCGAUGUCGGAUUAGCUAGUUGGCGGGGUAAAGGCCCACCAAGGCGACGAUCCGUAGCUGGUCUGAGAGGAUGAUCAGCCACACUGGAACUGAGACACGGUCCAGACUCCUACGGGAGGCAGCAGUGGGGAAUAUUGGACAACGGGCGCAAGCCUGAUCCAGCCAUACCGCGUGGGUGAAGAAGGCGUUCGGGUUGUAAAGCCCUUUUGUUGGGAAAGAAAAGCAGCAGGUUAAUACCCCGCUGUUCUGACGGUACCCAAAGAAUAAGCACCGGCUAACUUCGUG
rnacentral:rRNA from 1 species